CAGCAGCCACGGGAAUACAGAGGGUGCGAGCGUUAAUAGGAUUUACUGGGCGUAAAGCGUGCGUAGGCGGCUUCUUAAGUCGGAUGUGAAAUCCCUGAGCUUAACUUAGGAAUUGCAUUCGAUACUGGGAAGCUAGAGUAUGGGAGAGGAUGGUAGAAUUCCAGGUGUAGCGGUGAAAUGCGUAGAGAUCUGGAGGAAUACCGAUGGCGAAGGCAGCCAUCUGGCCUAAUACUGACGCUGAGGUACGAAAGCAUGGGGAGCAAACAGGAUUAGAUACCCCUGUAGUCCCUGUCUCUUAUAC
rnacentral:rRNA from 1 species